GUGCAGCAGGCGCGAAAACUUUACAAUGUGCGAAAGCACGAUAAGGGAACUCUGAGUGCCUCCUAAGGAGGCUGUUCAGGUGUCUAAAAGCACCUGAAGGAAGGGCUGGGUAAGACCGGUGCCAGCCGCCGCGGUAACACCGGCAGCCCAAGUGGUAGCCACGUUUAUUGGGUCUAAAGCGUCCGUAGCCGGCUGGGUAAGUUCCUUGGGAAAUUUGGCUGCUUAACAGUCAAGCUUUCAGGGAAUACUGCCCGGCUUGGGACCGGGAGAGGUCAGAGGUACUCCAGGGGUAGGGGUGAAAUCCAUUAAUCCUUGGGGGACCACCGGUGGCGAAGGCGUCUGACCAGACCGGGUCCGACGGUGAGGGACGAAGGCUAGGGGCGCGAACCGGAUUAGAUACCCCC
rnacentral:rRNA from 1 species